rnacentral:lncRNA from 10 species
GGGGUUUCACCGUGUUAGCCAGGAUGGUCUCGAUCUCCUGACCUCGUGAUCUGCCCGCCUCAGUCUCCCAAAGUGCUGGGAUUACAGGCGUGAGCCACCGUGCCCGGCCUUGUUGAAUGUCUUCUUUGUGUGGGGCCAUAUGCAUUCACUUACACACGGUGCCUGCCUUCAUCCUCCUAACAGCCUGCACAGUGGGCAAUAUAUUAUCGUUAUCCUCAUUUUGGAGAGAAGGAUGCUGAGGCUUAGAGAGGGAGGGUCGGCGACAUGCCCAAACUCAGUAAGCAGCAGAGGCAGAGUUUAAACUACCAUCUAAUAAAGUACCACAAACUCAGUGAGAAAUUAAAUAAAUCAACAAAUGGCCAUGGAGGACUAAAGCCAGUGAUUUCAACGAAUAUCUACCACCUAAUAACUAAUCUCUAAUAACUGAUAGAGUCUUUAGACUGUGUUGUUCCAGGCUUGAGUAACUACGCCCUUUCCACACUCCCAGAAGGCUGAAAGAAGUCUGACUAUGUCCCAGCAGGAGGUGGCCGGGGAGGCCGAGGCGCAGAGAAUCAUUCAGGUGUUCCUGACACUAUCACACACCCACGUCUGGAACCUACUGAAGGACCGUGGAUGAUGCUGUUCGAACAUUCUUGGAUUGUGGAAGCCAACAGUGGUGGAAGACCCCUCGCUGGUCUUGCGGCAACAACAGAAGAUCUUGGACCCCAUGUUUUGGCUCUGGCCAUCUGCUGUUGCUCCCCUUUCUCUGUGGCCAAAGCCCCACUCUGGAAAUUUCCAUCAUCGGUGGUCGUGUGUCGAUCACAGCACACUGGGUUCACUCCAUGGCCUCAUCCUUGGGUAGUGAGUUCCCACCCGUCCAGUGCUCCUCUCCAGCCUCAGUCACCAGCAUCUCCUACUUGGAUUAUUGCAACGGCUCCUAAGCAUCAGCAUUAAGCACCAACACAGAUGAAUCCUCCUCCUACAGACAUUAGAUCAUGUCACACCUCUGCCCAGACCUCCCAGUGGCUUCCAGUAUCAUGUUGAAUAAAAGAAAAGUCUUUCCCUGGGCCUGUCUUGAAAAAACUCAUAAUCUAACCAUUUAUCCACUUGUCCCUCACUGUCUCCUGCUACUUUACCCUUCACCCCUUUCCCGCCACACCAAACACACCACUGUUUGCAUUUCUGCUGGAACGCUCUUCCCCUAGAAAUCCACAAGACUCAUUCUCUCACUUGUUUCAAGCCUUUGCUUAAAGAACACUUCAUCUUUUUUUUUUUUUUUUUGAAUGGAGUAUCACUCUAUUGCCCAGGCUGGAGGGCAGUGGGGCGAUCUCAGCUCACUAACCUCUGCCUUUGGGGUUCAGGCGAUUCUUAUUCCUUAGCCUCCUGAGUAGCUGGGAUUACAGGUGCGCACCACCAUGCCCGGCUAAUUUUUGUGUUUUUAGUAGAGACGGGGUUUCACCAUGUUGGCCAGGCUGGUCUCAAACUCCUGACCUCAGGAAAUCUGCCUGCCUCGGCCUCCCAAGUUGCAAGGAUUACAGGCGUGAGCCACCAUGCCUGGCCAUGAACACUUUUUCUAGUGAGGCCUUCUCUGGCCUAUUUACUCUAUUUAAUUCUCUCUGUUUAUUCCCUCUGUUUAAGCCUCCUCCCUGCUCCCAGCACUCUCUAUUUCCCUUCCCCACCUCAUGCUUCUCUGCAGCCCUUGUCAUGUUCAGAAGUAGCCUAGAAUUUAUUUAUGAGCACGUACUCACUUUCCCAUUAGUAAACCCAGGAAGGCAGGGAGUCUCCUGUGUUCACUGCUGGGUCCCCAGUGCAGGGUGUAGGACAGGUGGUUAACAGCAUUUAUGGCAUGGUUGGAUGAACCUGUAUGUAUCUCACUUUGGUCUAGGGUCCAAGCAGGUGCUGUCACCGGGGAGCAGCAAGGAAUGUCACAACAAGUAAGACACCACCUGCCUCAUCCACCUGCCAAGCUGAUGGAUGGCUUUAUGGAUGACUUAUAGGGUUGCUUUUGGCUGCCUUCUGAUGGGACCACCUCUCUUCUCCACCCUCUCCAUCCCAAACUUGCUUUUCCUCCUCUCAUGUUUCCUAUUUUGGGGACAGGUACCACUAUUCAUUUUGUGUCUGCAGCUAGAAAUGGGGCACCCCUUACCUCCCCUCCGCUCACAUUCAUCAAGGCCUUUUGAAUCUAUCCCAUAAAUAUCUCCAUUGUCAGCCACCCUCCGUUGCCAUUGCCCUCACCACUAGCGCCUCCUGCCUUUGGAUCCUGACCACUGCUUUCCCACUAGCCUCUCUGGUGGCUCAUCUGCAACCAGAAGAUCUGCCCCUGGUGCAAAUCCUGUUAGGUCACUCCUCCUCUGCCUUAACCCCUCAGUGGCUCCCCUGUUCUGCUGCUCGAACUUGUCUGAGGAUCUGCCCCUGUCGACUUUGCCAGCUCCGUUCAUUCCAACUCAGUCACUACUCUUCGGCCAUAGGAGCUGCUGGCUGUGCUCCAGACUUUUUCUUACUGUUCCAUCCCUGUGCCUCUGCACAAGCUGAAACCUGCCCCUCCAUGUCCUCUCCUCAUCACACUUGAAGACAGCUCAGGUGUCACUUCCUUCAAGAAGCCAUUCCUUUUUUUUUUUUUUUUUUUGAGACAGAGUCUCACUGUAUCACCCAGGCUGGAGUGCAGUGGUGCGAUCUUGGCUCACUUCAACCAUCCUCCACCCUUUGGGCUUAAGCGAUUCUUUUGCCUCAGCCUCCUGAGUAGCUGGGAUUAUAGGUGCACACCAUCACACCCAGCUAAUUUUUGUAUUUUUAGUAGAGACAGAGUUGUGCCAUGUUGGUCAGGCUGGUCUUGAAUUCCCGAUCUCAAGUGAUCUGCCCGCCUCUGUCUCCCAAGUUGCUGGGGUUACAGGUGUGAGCCACCAUACCCAGCCAGGAAGCCAUCUCUUAAACCUGGGAUGAAUUGAGGCAUUUCCUUUAUGGUUCCCUUGUCCCCUGGGCUUCCCUGUGUCCUGGACCUGACUGUCAUUCCAGUGUCUGCCUAAACCACAGUGGAUGCUCAGUAAUAUUUGUUGAAUGGACUGUAUUUUCACUGCCUGUUUAUUUGCCUACAAAAAAUCAGUGAUUAAAAAAAUUUGUUCAGCAUAUACUUUUUGAGGACCUACUGGUGCCAAGCACUGACUGUGGUGCUGGGGAUACUGCCGUGGACAAGAGCAACAGAGCCUCACUCUCGAGGAGGCAGGGGUGGGUCCAGCCCACCUUCGGGUCCCAGGAUGCAGCACCGGGCUGUGUGCAGAACGCGUAUGCUCUCCAUACUGAUUGAAUAAAUACAG